CACGAGCUUGAAAAUGGGAUUGUCUUCCUGCUGAUAGACUGCAGGGCUUAUCUGUAAACAAAAAAGUAUUUGUGGAAUUCUGACUGUGGCCCUCAAAGGAAGGAAAUGUCAUCACAACAUAGGUUUCCAGAAAUCUCAAAAUCAGCAAAAGUACCUGUCCUGAAGCCUCUAGUUGCCAUCAAGAAUAUACCUAGGACCUAAUUUUUCUCUAGACAUGCAGUGAAGACCAGAAGAUGUGAUUUCUCUAACAGUUCACACUGCCAUAGUACUCCACUGCAUUAUUCAUGUUUUCCUGAGACAUGAAACAUUUGGUGUCAGGU